CGCUUUCCCUGCCAGAUUGUAUUACUGCAGGCUUGGAUCUCCAUUAUUUCCUCUUUCUCCUUUUGAUUUGAGGUUUUAUUUAUUUUGCUAACACCUACUGGUGUUGUGUUGUUUUUUCAUUUAUUUGAAUCCCAAGCCAAUUGUCUUGGAUAACAAUAUGUGGAUUUUAUAUCUUCAAUGACAAAAAAACGGGGUCAAGGUAUCAUUUGAGAAAUUUUGAUAUGUGUAUUUAAGGCUUUUAAAACACUCAUAUUAAAAAUAAUUAUAUGGGGGAAAUCGUAUUUUAAACACCAAGAGUGUCAAUUUAUAGCACUUUAAACACUGAAGUUUUUUUACUAGCAUUUUAUCAUAAUAAACCUCCAGCGAUGUUUUCAAGUUCAUAGGUGACCGGUACUGUUCAUUUUACAGGUUAAAAUGAUGAUGUGUCG
rnacentral:lncRNA from 1 species